rnacentral:rRNA from 1 species
UACGGGGGGCGCGAGCGUUGUCCGGAAUCACUGGGCGUAAAGGGCGCGUAGGUGGCUUGGCAAGCGCGUGGUGAAAGCCCGGGGCUCAACCCCGGGUCUGCCGUGCGAACUGCUAUGGCUUGAGCACUGUAGAGGCAGGUAGAAUUCCGGGUGUAGCGGUGGAAUGCGUAGAGAUCCGGAAGAAUACCGGUGGCGAAGGCGGCCUGCUGGGCAGUGGCUGACACUGAGGCGCGACAGCGUGGGGAGCAAACAGG